GAUGAACGCUCGCGAUAGGCUUAACACAUGCAAGUCGAGGGGCAGCAUGGUCUUAGCUUGCUAAGGCUGAUGGCGACCGGCGCACGGGUGCGUAACGCGUAUGCAACUUGCCUCACAGAGGGGGAUAACCCGUCGAAAGACGGACUAAUACCGCGUACACUCUAUGUUGGGCAUCCAAUGUAGAGGAAAUGAAAUUCGCUGUGAGAUAGGCAUGCGUCCCAUUAGCUAGUUGGUGAGGUAACGGCUCACCAAGGCGACGAUGGGUAGGGGAACUGAGAGGUUGAACCCCCACACUGGUACUGAGACACGAACCAGACUCCUACGGGAGGCAGCAGUGAGGAAUAUUGGUCAAUGGGCGAGAGCCUGAACCAGCCAAGUCGCGUGAAGGAUGACUGUCUUAUGGAUUGUAAACUUCUUUUAUACGGGAAUAACAAGAGUCACGUGUGGCUCCCUGCAUGUACCGUAUGAAUAAGCAUCGGCUAACUCCGUG
rnacentral:rRNA from 1 species